AUGAAGUCUUUCGAUGAGAAAAAAAUAGAAGGCAACCUUUCGGGACGAGACUCCGCCGCCACGAGGCGGAACCUUGGCGGAACCAAUCUAGGGCUCCGGCAGAGCUGUUCUGCCGGGGACACUUCCCUCUGGGAGGGGGAAAUCAUCACCAUCGUCAUCACCGACGCUCCUAUCAUCGGGAGAGGGAAAUAUCCAUCAACAUCUUCACCAGCACCAUCUCAUCUCCAAACCCUAGUUCAUCUCUUGUAUCCAAUUCUUGUCUCCAAGUCCGGGAUUGGUGCUAGUAGGUUGCUAGUAGUGUUGAUUACUCCUUGUUGUUGA
rnacentral:rRNA from 1 species